rnacentral:lncRNA from 1 species
CCUUCCUCUCUCUCUCUCUCCUUUCUCUCUUUCUCCAAUGAAGUUGAAUCCUCAGUAGUUGCAGAAGUGAAUCCUUCUAACUCUGAAUGGUAGGAAACUGGAGCACAGAGAUGCUGAUCACCUUGCCUACGUUCACAAAUCUAGUGAGCAGCAUAUCCAGGACUCCAAAUUCAGGAUGCCAAACCCAG